AUACAUGCAAGUCGAACGAGCUUCCGUUGAAUGACGUGCUUGCACUGAUUUCAACAAUGAAGCGAGUGGCGAACUGGUGAGUAACACGUGGGAAAUCUGCCCAGAAGCAGGGGAUAACACUUGGAAACAGGUGCUAAUACCGUAUAACAACAAAAUCCGCAUGGAUUUUGUUUGAAAGGUGGCUUCGGCUAUCACUUCUGGAUGAUCCCGCGGCGUAUUAGUUAGUUGGUGAGGUAAAGGCCCACCAAGACGAUGAUACGUAGCCGACCUGAGAGGGUAAUCGGCCACAUUGGGACUGAGACACGGCCCAAACUCCUACGGGAGGCAGCAGUAGGGAAUCUUCCACAAUGGACGAAAGUCUGAUGGAGCAAUGCCGCGUGAGUGAAGAAGGGUUUCGGCUCGUAAAACUCUGUUGUUAAAGAAGAACACCUUUGAGAGUAACUGUUCAAGGGUUGACGGUAUUUAACCAGAAAGCCACGGCUAACUACGUGCCAGCAGCCGCGGUAAUACGUAGGUGGCAAGCGUUGUCCGGAUUUAUUGGGCGUAAAGCGAGCGCAGGCGGUUUUUUAAGUCUGAUGUGAAAGCCUUCGGCUUAACCGGAGAAGUGCAUCGGAAACUGGGAGACUUGAGUGCAGAAGAGGACAGUGGAACUCCAUGUGUAGCGGUGGAAUGCGUAGAUAUAUGGAAGAACACCAGUGGCGAAGGCGGCUGUCUAGUCUGUAACUGACGCUGAGGCUCGAAAG
rnacentral:rRNA from 1 species